rnacentral:rRNA from 1 species
GAUGAACGCUGGCGGCGUGCCUAAUACAUGCAAGUCGAGCGAACAGACGAGGAGCUUGCUCCUCUGACGUUAGCGGCGGACGGGUGAGUAACACGUGGAUAACCUACCUAUAAGACUGGGAUAACUUCGGGAAACCGGAGCUAAUACCGGAUAAUAUAUUGAACCGCAUGGUUCAAUAGUGAAAGACGGUUUUGCUGUCACUUAUAGAUGAAUCCGCGCCGCAUUAGCUAGUUGGUAAGGUAACGGCUUACCAAGGCAACGAUGCGUAGCCGACCUGAGAGGGUGAUCGGCCACACUGGAACUGAGACACGGUCCAGACGCCUACGGGAGGCAGCAGUAGGGAAUCUUCCGCAAUGGGCGAAAGCCUGACGGAGCAACGCCGCGUGAGUGAUGAAGGUCUUCGGAUCGUAAAACUCUGUUAUUAGGGAAGAACAAAUGUGUAAGUAACUAUGCACGUCUUGACGGUACCUAAUCAGAAAGCCACGGCUAACUACGUG